rnacentral:rRNA from 1 species
AGAGUUUGAUCAUGGCUCAGAAUCAACGCUGGCGGCGUGCCUCAGACAUGCAAGUCGAACGCGAAAGUCCCCUUCGGGGGACAAGUAGAGUGGCGCACGGGUGAGUAACACGUAGGUAAUCUACCUUUGGAUUGGGAAUAACCACCGGAAACGGUGGCUAAUACCGAAUAAUGCAGCGGCACCUAAUGGUGACAGUUGUUAAAGCGGGGGAUCGCAAGACCUCGCGUCUGAAGAGGAGCCUGCGGCAGAUUAGCUAGUUGGUAAGGUAACGGCUUACCAAGGCGAUGAUCUGUAGCCGGCCUGAGAGGGCGGUCGGCCACACUGACACUGACAUACGGGUCAGACUCCUACGGGAGGCAGC